UUAAAAGAAAAAAGAUGUAUUUGAACAUUUCUGUUUUCACAAUAGUCUCUAAAAUGCACAACGCUAAUUCGGCUUUUUUUUUUUUUUUUUUUUUUCUGCGGUACGCGGGCCUCUCACUGUUGUGGCCUCUCCCGUUGCGGAGCACAGGCUCCGGACGCGCAGGCUCAGCGGCCACGGCUCACGGGCCCAGCCGCUCCGCGGCAUGUGGGAUAUUCCCGGACCGGGGCACGAACCCGCGUCCCCUGCAUCGGCAGGCGGACUCUCAGCCACUGCGCCACCAGGGAAGCCCCUAAUUCGGCUUUUUAAAUUUAUCACACUGUGGGCCCGAGGGAGCACAGCACUCGCUGCUUGAAAGUCGGGCCUCAGGAUGGACACUCCUUGGCAGCCGUCUGUGAGCCCUGGAGGCCGUGGUGAGCUCUGCAGCCAGGUCUCCACUCCCUCCGGUCCUCGUCAGGUCUCCGUGUGGCACGGCCCUCGCCCACUCUGUUCCUGCUGCACCAACACCCUCCUGGGUCCCUUAACGGUUCAUCUGUGAGCCUUGGCUUCUGACGGGCUCCGGCUUCACCCAGCCACCUAGUCGUGCUUUGGAGGUCAGGCCCCCACGGAACUGUGGUCCCCUGUGUCUGUGUCCCUCCUUCGAUGACGAGCUCCUGCCCUGAGAUUACACCUUAGGCUUCCCUCUCCUUGGGGCCCCCGGGGCUGGCCCACACUGGCUCUCGGUACCGCCAGAGGGCGGAGGGUCGGGUCACCUUGGGAGAGGUCCCCGUGGGGCCUUCUAUGCUCUCCUCCCUCCCUUCCCCUGCCCGUGUGUCGCUGUGGUAUAGACGUUCACUAGAUGAACAUACGGAUACAUCAAAAGGAUAGAAAAAAUGUUCAGAUAAUUAUGUACAGAACAUGAUUAUUAAAAAUCAGUGAUAAAAGAUCUGUUCAAAAAAACUGAAGCGGCUAGUUAUGAAACCUCAGAGAGGAGAGCAACAGUAAACAGCCGCAUUUCCUUAGGUGAGGUGAGAAGGCUUCAGGCACAAAGCACAAAGGGCAUGCAACUUUCCGAGAUACUUGGUCAGUGACAGGGCUGGAAGGGAAGCUGGGAAGGUGUGAGAGGUCACCUUGUGCUCGUCUCCCGGAGGUCCGCCUGCGUCCACGUCUUCCAAGUCAGGCAGGUCCUGGAAGAGAAAACGAUCCCCGUCAGCAGGAGGGCACGCUCCCCACGCCCGGUCCCCGGGACAGAUGUGGCCGCACAGCCAACCAAGCCUGCGCUACGUGCUCGGAGUGUGGAGGGGCCCGCGGAGUGACCCAGACCACUCAGGCCCCGUGCACGCUCGAAACGCACGCACGAGGCAACACCAGGUACCUGGAUCUGAUCAGUGAAAGAGAUGUGCAAGGUGUGGCAUGUUUCAAAAAUUUCCACCUCUUUCUCCACUUCACUUUGGUGUUACUCGCCCAGUUCAUCUGGGGGGAAACGUACGUCCUACACACAAAUUUGUCUUAGGACACUGUGGCAUAAAACGAGUCUAUUUUGGACCUCCCCCAAACUAGGGGGGCUUUUCUGUUUUGUGUUGUGUUUGGGGGUAUCUUCAUCUCUAGCACCCCGUCCAGCGUGUGAGGCAGGCACAGUGUGUGGUUAGAUGCAUGGGCUCUGGAGCCACACUGCCUGGGUUGCUACUCCUGCUUCAUCAUUGCCUGGCUGUGUAGCCUUGGGCAAGUUGCUUAACCUCUCUGUUUCUCAAUUUCCUCAUCUGUAAAAUGGGGAUGACAAUGGUACCUAUGUCUUAGAGUUAUUGGAAGGGUUAAAUCAAUCGAUAACAAGAUGUGUUUAAAAUAGUGCUGGACAAAGGAAGGACAGUCAGUACUAGCUUAGUGUUGGGGUCCUGUAUACGGUCAGUAAUCAAAUGUUAGGGAAGAAUUGCCCACUUUUGUUUUUUCAUAUGUAUAUGCAGGCCCAGAAAACCAGAAACCCACUCUGAAUAUUGGCUGUACUUAGUCGAACACUUACUGAGCCACGUGAAAUUGUGAGGUUGGGAAUGAAACACCCGUGUAGGAGUUUAUGGAAGCAGCGGGCGGGGGCGGGCGAAGCUGCGCACACGGCUUGAACGGAAGGAGCUCACUCGUGGGCAGAGAGGCGGGCCGUUCUCCGGGCGAGCAGGGUGUGAGGCUACAGGUGGGGGGCACCGGCCCCCACCCCUUGCCCCACCAAAGCACCGUUCCCGGGGGUCAUGGCAAAGUGUGUACGUCCCCAGAGACCCAUUCCUGUGGGCACAGCAUGUCAGACUGUUAUCAGAGCGGAAGGGUUUCGGGGAGGAGGGCCGUACUCCGGGCCGGGAUCAGUCCCAAGGUCAGGCGGCCCCUCACCGAACAAGCCCCAGGGGAUGGGCCGCUGGGCAGUCAGGCCGGGGAGCAGGAGCCGCGACAAGCCAGGACGGGCAGCUGCCCGCAGAGGGCAAGGCUCUGAUGAUCAAGUGCAGCCUUCCCAACAGUUCUGUGGGUGGCCAGCCAGGCGGACCUGCUUUCUGUGUAGCGCCUUUGGGGAAAACACGUUAAGAGUUCUGUAGACGUCGUUCAAGGGGGCUCAUCUGGGCCGUCACUUCUCAGUCUUGAAGGUGCACAGGCAUGGACCCCCCUGGGGGAGGGCUUAUUAACUGCAGGUCCUGAGCAGUGGGUCUGGGGUGGGGCCCGGGCUUCUGCCUUCUAAGCAGCCCUCAGGGGAGACCAUGCCUGCUGGCCCAAGGGCCACACUGGGCAGCGAGGAUUUGGAAGUUUUGUGUCUGAUCUGAUACCGGCUGUACCGCAGAUACUUCUCUGCAGAUGCACCAGUUACGUACAUCGAUGAAGAGCUUCUCCUUCGUCUCCAGUCUGAUGGCUUCCAAGUCUUCAGCUCCACAGAGCUCUGUACCUGAUGCACUUUCAGUGGCCACAGUCUGGGGAGCUGAUUCUAAGGAACAACAAAGAGUUAUAUUAAUCUUGGAGUUAGUUUUAUACAUGGUGGACAGACGGGCAAACCCAAGGUUAAGGCGAUUCCAAGGGGAAGGACAAAACCGCGGGUCUGAAAGCCUCCAGCCCCUGUGACAGGAGCUGCAAGCAUUCCAGGUUAGGACAAGAUUAUGUCUGAAAGGAAAGGGAGACAGCUGCCCCCUUUCUGGAGCCUGGAGAUGGAAGCACCAGCCAGGAAUCCGUGAAGAACGCGCAGGAACCUUGGAAAAGGCAUGAUUGAUGGGCCGGGAGAUGAAGAAAGAAAGGCCGUGGUGCCAAAGGCCAAGUUUCACAGCCCCUCCUGCUGCACGAGCGUCAGGGAGACCUGUGAAGUCGCCGCAGGGUUGCCUGUGGAACGUGGAGUCCAGACAGGGCUUGUCUUCCUCCCCCAGGCCCCUCCUAUCCUACCCUCUGCUUCCUCUCCAGCCUCCAUGAUUAGAGAUGAAUGGCCCUGCUCUGCUCGUGACACGCUGUCCGCCCUGAGGACUGGCCGUGCCCAGUUUGACUCGAGAGCCACAUUGGGGCACCCGUUUAGAAUGAAACAAGGGGGACUUCCCCGGUGGCGCAGUGGUUAAGAAUCCACCUGCCAGUGCAGGGGACACGGGUUCGAGCCCUGGUCCGGGAAUGUCCCACAUGCCGCAGAGCAACUAAGCCCAUGCGCCACAACUACUGAGCCUGCGCUCUAGAGCCCGCGAGCCUCAGCUACUGAACCCGCGUGCCACAACUACUGAAGCCCGGGCGCCUAGAGCCUGUGCUCUGCAACAAGAGAAGCCACUGCAACGAGAAGCCCACGCACCGCAACGAAGAGUAGCCCCCGCUCGCCGCAACUAGAGAAAGCCUGCGCGCAGCAACAAAGACCCAAAGCAGCCAAAAAUAAAUAAAUAAAAUAGGCAAACUAGAUAAACAGACGUUAAAAAAAAGAAUGAUAUAGGGAAGUGGGCAGGGGCUUUCGGGGCUGCUGUGGACGAUCCCAGGCCCACCUCCCAGGCCCAGUUUGUCGUGGUCUCUUCCACUUGGCUGUGCCCGUGGCUUCGCAGCUUCUAAUUACAGUAGUCGGUUUCCCCUCCAGUUAGUCCUUCCCCCGGACCCCUGUGUCCUGCUCGUGGCACCAUGGCGUCCAGCUUCCCAGCCAGCAGAAGCUUCUAGUCCAGGCAGCUGCCAAGUCCCUUUGUUUGCUAAAACCUACCUGCUUAGGCUUUGUGUGCCGGGAAGAGGCGAGGCAGGGAAGAGACUAGUUGUUGGGCGUGUUUCUUACGUUGCCUCACGCGAGCCACGGCAGAGACUGUUUCCACUUCGCAGGGGCUAGAAUGGGCUCCGAGAGGUUUUGUGGCUUGCCUGAGGUGUCCCAGCUGGUUAAGGGGCUGGACUUGGGUUUGACCUCAGGGUGUCUGUCUAGAAAAUUCGCUGCCUCGCCUGUUCACAGAGUGUUGUAGUGAAACGCGUGUGUCAUCCUCUGUACCGUUUUGGUGACCACUGGAAGGAAGCUAAGGCUCCUCUGGACCGAGUGUCAUCAGAUGGAGGUGGGAAACGUGUCUCCGUGACGUAUGCGCUCACAUCACGUUUCCCCUGGUCCUGAUAUUUAGACUCAGCAUUGGGAUGGGGAGCUAUUCAAGCCUCCGAGCCCUGACUCGGUCCCCAGGCAGCCUUCCCUGGUUCCUGACUCCAUGAUGAGAGAGGACGAGCCCAGGAAACGCAGCAAAGCUGCUCGUACCGUUUAUCUCCUAAUCUCCUGCAUCCUUCACUAGGCCUCGUGACUCGGAAGGCUGUGUGCCAUGCAAGAAAGGUUGCCAGCUCCUUGCUAAACGUGCCCUUCGUUCCGGAAGCCAAUUGAUGGUUUCACUCACGGAAACCUCUGCUUCUAGGCUAGGUGCGGCUUCAAGGCAAAACACUUACCGGAGGGGGAGUGCGGAUGCAGGCAAAACCUUGUGUCUGGAUCUCAGAGUACACGUGCCAACACCUACGUCAGUAGUUCAGAGGAUGCUCUCUUCCCCGUGUGUUUAAUACAUGAUUAGCGCCCCUUUUAAAUAAUAAAACCUGUAACAUCGCCAUCUGUGGAAAGCUUGAGGGAAAACGUGACCCUUGUCUAGUAGAAAUUCUCUCCCAGAAACCAGGGAGUGACCAGGUCUUGGAGGGUCUACAAUCCCAUCCAGCAAAGUGGUGCCAGGAGCCAUAGAAAGCAGGGCUUCAGUGCCUCCCAAGGGAAAUUAAAUCAAGACAAGUCACGCUUCUCAUAGAUGCAUUCCAGCCGCAGCCUCAUGGCAAAGUCAGAAGAAGAGCUGCGCAGCAGCCACCCGACAAGUGUGAGUAGGGCAUCAGAGGGAUGGGCGGGACAUGUCCCCCUCCCCGGGAGCCUGUUCUGUGACUCUGGCUGUUUAGAUCCCACGCAGUUUCCUGCUCCUUUCCUGCUCUCCGCCCACUGCUGCUGCCUCACCUGCUGGAACCCCUGGGGACUUCAUGAGCUCCAGCAUCCCUGAUGGGGGCCUGGGCCACGGACGUCAGCACAGUCACAGGUCACCUCACUCCCUACACCACCCCUCCUUCCUAAGGCGCUUCCUCCCCUUCCACACUGGCCCCCGAGUCCCCGGCGCUGUCUGGCACGAGCAUCUCCCCUGAGCAGAAGUCCACAGUGAGCUGGGAACGUCCUGGGAGGACAAGGGGGACCUGCAGUGAACUGCCGGGAUGGUCAUCAGAGUGCUGUGUAGGUGCUAAAUACACGGGCUGAAAGUCCACCGGGGGAUGCCUAGCGCAUGCACGGCCGGCACAGGACACAGCCACUAGAGAACUGUGCAGGGGGCUCUUAGGAGACGCAGGCUGAGGUAUUUGGGGUUAAGGGCCACGAUGUCUGCCUUUGCUUUCAAAUGGGUCAGCAGAACAGGAAAGACUGUGUGUGUGUGUGUGUGUGUGUGUGCCUGUGUGUGCCAAAAUAUUAACAACCAUCUGAUCUAAACAGACAACUCAGCUGUUCAUUUUAACUAUUCUUUAAGCUUUUCUUAAAACUUGAAAAAUAUCAAAAUUAAAAGUUGGGAAGAGGGAAAUAAAACCAUGCUACAGGGGAACAUCUAUUUUAUGGGACUAUACUAUUACGCUUAUUCAAAAGAGUAGGCAAAAAGCAAUACAGCUAUGCCAGGGGCUUCCCUGGUGGUGCAGUGGUUUAGAGUCCGCCUGCCAACGCAGGGGACACGGGUUCGAACCCUGGUCCGGGAAGAUUCCACAUGCCGCAGAGCAACAAAGCCCACGUGCCACAGCUACUGAGCCUGCGAGCCACAGCUACUGAGCCCACGCGCCUAGAGCCCGUGCUCCGCAACAAGAGAAGCCACCUCAAUGAGAAGCCAGUGCACUGCCAAGAAGAGUAGCCCCCGCUCACCGCAACUAGAGAAAGCCUGCGUGCAGCAACGAAGACCCAAUGUGGCCAAAAAUAAAUUCAUCAAAUAAAUAAA